CCUACGGGAGGCUGCAGUGAGGAAUAUUGGUCAAUGGGCGCGAGCCUGAACCAGCCAAGUAGCGUGAAGGAUGACUGCCCUACGGGUUGUAAACUUCUUUUAUAAAAGAAUAAAGUGAAGCACGUGUGCCUUUUUGUAUGUACUUUAUGAAUAAGGAUCGGCUAACUCCGUGCCAGCAGCCGCGGUAAUACGGAGGAUCCAAGCGUUAUCCGGAUUUAUUGGGUUUAAAGGGAGCGUAGAUGGGUUGUUAAGUCAGUUGUGAAAGGUUGCGGCUAAACCGGAAAAUUGCAAUUGAUACUGUCAGUCUUGAGUACAGUUGAGGUAGGCGGAAUUUGUGGUGUAGCGGUGAAAUGCUUAGAUAUCACGAAGAACUCCGAUUGCGAAGGCAGCUUACUAAACUGCCACUGACAUUGAUGCUCGAAAGUGUGGGUAUCAAACAGGAUUAGAUACCCUAGUAGUC
rnacentral:rRNA from 1 species